GAGGGUGUAGCUCAGUGGUAGAGCAUAUGUUUAGCAUGCAUGAGGUCCUGGGUUUAAUCCCCAGUACCUCCA
rnacentral:tRNA from 1 species